rnacentral:rRNA from 1 species
GAUGAACGCUGGCGGCGUGCCUAAUACAUGCAAGUCGAGCGAACAGACGAGGAGCUUGCUCCUCUGACGUUAGCGGCGGACGGGUGAGUAACACGUGGAUAACCUACCUAUAAGACUGGGAUAACUUCGGGAAACCGGAGCUAAUACCGGAUAAUAUAUUGAACCGCAUGGUUCAAUAGUGAAAGACGGUUUUGCUGUCACUUAUAGAUGGAUCCGCGCCGCAUUAGCUAGUUGGUAAGGUAACGGCUUACCAAGGCAACGAUGCGUAGCCGACCUGAGAGGGUGAUCGGCCACACUGGAACUGAGACACGGUCCAGACUCCUACGGGAGGCAGCAGUAGGGAAUCUUCCGCAAUGGGCGAAAGCUUGACGGAGCAACGCCGCGUGAGUGAUGAAGGUCUUCGGAUCGUAAAACUCUGUUAUUAGGGAAGAACAAAUGUGUAAGUAACUAUGCACGUCUUGACGGUAGCUAAUCAGAAAGCCACGGCUAACUACGUG